rnacentral:rRNA from 1 species
AACGAACGCUGGCGGCAUGCCUAACACAUGCAAGUCGAAAGAGAUCUUCGGGUCUAGUGGCGCACGGGUGCGUAACGCGUGGGAAUCUGCCCUUUGGUUCGGAAUAACAGUGGAAACGACUGCUAAUACCGGAUGAUGACGAAAGUCCAAAGAUUUAUCGCCAGAGGAUGAGCCCGCGUAGGAUUAGCUAGUUGGUGUGGUAAAGGCGCACCAAGGCGACGAUCCUUAGCUGGUCUGAGAGGAUGAUCAGCCACACUGGGACUGAGACACGGCCCAGACUCCUACGGGAGGCAGCAGUGGGGAAUAUUGGACAAUGGGCGAAAGCCUGAUCCAGCAAUGCCGCGUGAGUGAUGAAGGCCUUAGGGUUGUAAAGCUCUUUUACCCGGGAUGAUAAUGACAGUACCGGGAGAAUAAGCUCCGGCUAACUCCGUGCCAGCAGCCGCCGUAA